GUGAACUGCGAAUGGCUCAUUAAAUCAGUUAUAGUUUAUUUGAUGGUAUCUUGCUACAUGGAUAACUGUGGUAAUUCUAGAGCUAAUACAUGCAAUAAAGCCCCGACUUCUGGAAGGGGUGUAUUUAUUAGAUAAAAGACCAACGCGGUUCGCCGCUCCCUUGGUGAUUCAUAAUAACUUCUCGAAUCGCACGGCCUUGUGCUGGCGAUGCUUCAUUCAAAUAUCUGCCCUAUCAACUUUCGAUGGUAGGAUAGUGGCCUACCAUGGUUUCAACGGGUAACGGGGAAUAAGGGUUCGAUUCCGGAGAGGGAGCCUGAGAAACGGCUACCACAUCCAAGGAAGGCAGCAGGCGCGCAAAUUACCCAAUCCCGACACGGGGAGGUAGUGACAAUAAAUAACAAUAUAGGGCUCUUUCGGGUCUUAUAAUUGGAAUGAGUACAAUUUAAAUCCCUUAACGAGGAACAAUUGGAGGGCAAGUCUGGUGCCAGCAGCCGCGGUAAUUCCAGCUCCAAUAGCGUAUAUUAAAGUUGUUGCAGUUAAAAAGCUCGUAGUUGAACUUCAGACCUGGCCGGGCGGUCUGCCUAACGGUACGUACUGUCUGGCUGGGCCUUACCUCUUGGUGAGCCGGCAUGCCCUUUACUGGGUGUGUCGGGGAACCAGGACUUUUACCUUGAGAAAAUUAGAGUGUUCAAAGCAGGCCUACGCCCGAAUACAUUAGCAUGGAAUAAUAAAAUAGGACGUGCGGUUCUAUUUUGUUGGUUUCUAGAGUCGCCGUAAUGAUUAAUAGGGAUAGUUGGGGGCAUUAGUAUUCAGUUGCUAGAGGUGAAAUUCUUGGAUUUACUGAAGACUAACUACUGCGAAAGCAUUUGCCAAGGAUGUUUUCAUUAAUCAAGAACGAAGGUUAGGGGAUCGAAAACGAUCAGAUACCGUUGUAGUCUUAACAGUAAACUAUGCCGACUAGGGAUCGGGCGACCUCAAUUUUAUGUGUCGCUCGGCACCUUACGAGAAAUCAAAGUCUUUGGGUUCUGGGGGGGAGUAUGGUCGCUAGGCUGAAACUUAAAGGAAUUGACGGAAGGGCACCACCAGGAGUGGAGCCUGCGGCUUGAUUUGACUCAACCCGGGGAAACUCACCAGGUCCAGACAUGACUAGGAUUGACAGAUUGAUAGCUCUUUCAUGA
rnacentral:rRNA from 1 species